UCAUCAUUUCCCAGAGGUCCCUUUCAACCCCUACAAUUAUCUGGCUUUUAUUGAGUUGACGUUGACAAUGUUUAGUGAAGCUGUUGAAGUGGUGAGUCAAAAGUUGACAAUCUUGGGACACUCAGCGUGUCUUCUGACGGGGAAGAAGUAUGUUGAAAACCUGAAAAGGAUAAUAGGGCAGCAAUAUUUUGUAAGUAGUAUAUUAGCUAUUCUGAAAGGAUUUUUAUGUGGCUUGUAUAACAGUACAGGGCAAGAUUUUAUUUGCAGUAAGUUUUGACUGUAACAGAGUCUUUGGCUGAAGCUGAAACAGCAUCUGUAGCUUUUGAGGAGUUCCUAACAUUAAUAGAUAAAAAGGGCCAAAGGACUGUAUUACAUUUGUGCUUGGGGUGGUGGAAGCCUGUUUCCAGAAGCUAUUCCAUCAGGAAAAGAUGUGUCCAGAAAAAAGACGUGGCCAGUGAUGAGCCUGGUUAAUUGCAAAUCUUUUGAUAUAAACACUCACUGGGAUGCAGAAUAUGGAUAAGCAAAGAAAAAUGUGCUUUAGAAAGUCUGGAACAAGUUUUUUAACCAUGAGACUACCUUACAAUCCUCAUAAUGAGAGUAAUGGUUAUGAUGUUGGACGCUAGCAUCACAAAUUUUAAAAUGAGAGGUAUAAUAUUAGUGAGCUUGCUCACAGUGGUAGGGGAUAAUGUUGCAAUCCACUUGUGGAUUUAGUUCUUGUAUGGGUUUUUUUGCGUGAUACUUCUAUAUGAUUAUGAAGUUGGCAUGUAAUGACUUUGGAAGGUAUGUUAAAGUUCGGUUGUACAAAACACCUUGCUAGAUUUAAAGCUUUGAUUUCAGAUGUUGCAGUAAAUAGCGUGAAAGCCCUUUUGCCAUUUGUAUUAUAAAUAGUUGUUAAAAUCUUGCGCUGUCAUUAGUGUUUGAUUUAUCACAUGGGUGUUGGGCUGUGAUUCCCAAAAUCAGUGGUUAGACAAACUGUCGUGGGGUAUUGCUGUGUCAGUCUUAGUAACUGGGCAAAAGAUCAGCAUUCUCCUGAGUUAAAGGAGCGUUGUGUUUAGAUGAGCGUCUCGGAGCUUCAGGGAAGUUAGAAGAGUGGCUGUGCAUAAAUGCUUUGCUACCAUUUAAGUGGGAAGUCUUAAAGCAGGACGUUGGAGAGUUUGUCUUGCUUGUGGAGACAGUAUAUCAUAAAUAGUUCCAAGUGAGCUGCAGUUACUUUUCCAAAGUACCCACCCUGCAGUGUGGGUUAAAAACGCAAGCAAACAGAAAGUGUGUAUCCUGUCAAGCUAACCAGUCUACAGAGAAGCGUGCUGCCUGCUUUGGUGGCAUUGCUGCCUUCUCUUUCAGGCAAACUCUUAAUGGUACAAAUAUGCCACAUAAACGUUGGUUAUGAGUUGUACUGACAAGGAUGGAUGUUGCAAUUGAAUUAACAGCUGGUAAGUUACAAGUUCCAAAGGUGGAAGCUCAACAAUGAGUUUUUGAGGAGAGAGACUCAUUCACUUAAGACAGUUGACCUGUCACAGCACACUGAGCAAUGUUAGACUUUGUCCAAGGAAAGGCUUUUUUUUUGAUGUUUAUCUUUGACACUGAGUUUGGGAUACCAUUUUUUCCCACAGUUUCCACCCCUUCCCACAAUUGAGAGGACAAUUUGAGUUGGAAUGAAUUAAUUCAGCAGGUGAAUAUUACAGAUGAGCAGAGUACACAUGGAAGUCUGUAUAUGCUGUGUGUUUGUAUGUGGCCAGUGACUUGUAUUCUGUGUACUUCUCAUUAGAACCAGUAUUAGAAGUAUUCUUGCUUGUCUGUCAUUAAUAUCUGCUUUGCUUAGAGAAUGUAAGCUGGAAAACUAAAAUAAUUCCAUUUUCUUUCAAACACAAUGUGGCUUUUCAGCAGAUAGUCAAGUUAGGCUAUCAGGGCUGUGAAAACAGUACUGCUCAGCCACUGUAUAAAACUUCCUGUAGGCUCUGCAAGACAAAGUAGUAUCUUAUGCUCAAAAGAAUGACUGUAUAGAGUAAGAGAAAAUCUGCCUUGCUCAGUAUUCUAUCUGAGAGUGAUCAGUAUAAGAAACAGGAGGAUAAGAGAUCUUUCCCAGUGGUUUGCUUGGGAAUUUCCUAAGGAGUUACUCAUUCUAUGUGAGCAUUACUUGGCAAUUAUGACCUAUCUGUUUAAAAAGAUGUGAAAUGUGAAUACCACAUCAAUUGUAAAAUGCAUGAAGUAGUGCAUAUGAUUGCAACAGUAGGGAAAUGGAUGAGGGGAGCUAGGGGAGGACUAAAGUAAC
ensembl:lncRNA